rnacentral:rRNA from 1 species
AUUGAACGCUGGCGGCAUGCCUUACACAUGCAAGUCGAACGGCAGCACGGGAGCAAUCCUGGUGGCGAGUGGCGAACGGGUGAGUAAUAUAUCGGAACGUGCCCAGUAGUGGGGGAUAGCCCGGCGAAAGCCGGAUUAAUACCGCAUGAGACCUGAGGGUGAAAGCGGGGGAUCGCAAGACCUCGCGCUAUUGGAGCGGCCGAUAUCAGAUUAGCUAGUUGGUGGGGUAAAGGCCAACCAAGGCAACGAUCUGUAGUUGGUCUGAGAGGACGACCAGCCACACUGGGACUGAGACACGGCCCAGACUCCUACGGGAGGCAGCAGUGGGGAAUUUUGGACAAUGGGCGCAAGCCUGAUCCAGCAAUGCCGCGUGCAGGAAGAAGGCCUUCGGGUUGUAAACUGCUUUUGUCAGGGAAGAAAUCCUCUGGGCUAAUACCUCGGGGGGAUGACGGUACCUGAAGAAUAAGCACCGGCUAACUACGUGCCAGCCGCCGCCGUAAGAC